AACGUAGGUGGCGAGCGUUAUCCGGAUUUACUGGGCGUAAAGCGUGUGCAGGCGGGGCCACAAGUGGUGUAUGAAAUCGCUCGGCUUAACCGGGCGCGGUUAUGCCAGACUGUGGUUCUGGAGUGCGGGAGAGGGGCGUGGAAUUCCGGGUGUAGUGGUGAAAUGCGUAGAGAUCCGGAGGAACCCCAGAGGCGAAGGCGGCGCCCUGGCCCGACACUGACGCUCAGACACGACAGCAUGGGGAGCGAACGGG
rnacentral:rRNA from 1 species